AGGAGAAGAUGAUCACGCCGAGAGCAAAGUUUUCAAAGAUGGCAGGAGAAGAUGAUCACGCCGAGACCAAAGUGUUCAAAAAUGGCAGCAAUAUUUCUUCAACAUUUGCUGCCACCAACCACCUCAACCUCUCUAUAAAUUGAGGUGAGUUCUGCAGAAGGAAGAAGUGCAGAAGUGCGAGAGGUGUGAGGUAAAACAAGAGAAAAUUUUAAAUUUCUUACUUGCAAGAGCUCAAGUGAGCUCCCUUCGCCGGGCCGUUUAUUCGCCGACCGGCCACUAGGCUCUGAACCGAGAACGUGUACUCGUUCCUCCAUCUUCAAGCUACCAAACCCAACAAUCGAAAGGCCGAAACCUUCUCUAUAUUUUCCCGACCAAAGGCCACAAUAUCCUUCGGAGGCCAACGUCGAAUUCCCGACUUAGCCACCGGCCAACUUACGGCUUUCGUUUCUCACUAUCCUUACGACGAAAAAGGAUUGAGAAAACACCGUUGUGUAGCCUGAUCUACCUCGCACGAGGAAGACUAAGUCGUAGACCUUCGCGGCUAAACACCAUCGCGGAACGACGACCGGAAAACCCCCGACGAACAACUUCCAUUAGUGCUCACUUGGACAAGGGUUGAGCUGAUGUGAUGAUGGUGCUGCAAUGAGCGGAGUCUCCAGGGUUGUUAAUAAAUAGUUAACCUGUCUAGAAUAUGUCUUCAUACAUAUGUCUAGCUACUUUCCGCUGCAAGAUGUUGUUGAUGUUAUAGUAUGUUAUGUCAUACUUUGAGUCUUAAGAGAAUGGUUUCAUAUGAUGUAUAACUUGAUUAAUGAUAUUAAUUAAGUUUUAUGCUGUC